UUUGGUAAGUCUAAGUCGCGGCAGUUGAAGUAGGUGUCCAUAUGCAGAGGCAGAGCUAGCCAUGUCCCAGUGUGAUAAUUAGUUAGGUCGUCCAUUUUGCAAAUCCUAUAUUUUGCGCAACUUUUGAAUGGUAGUUGAAGGUGUGACCUGAAGAGAGGAUGUUGAAUAAUGCUCUACCAAUUAAUAUCAACCAUCUAACUUCCACAUAGAGGAUACCAUCACCCUCCAGAAGUAUUCUCCGUCCAUCUUAGGUCACCAAUGGAUCCACCACCACCACCCACAGCUCCACUGCUCGGUCCAGAAAGCCAUGGUGGAGGAUGCUGGGAUUCAUGUUUAUGGUUUCUGUGCUGCUGUGGCCUAUUUUCAUGCUGCUGCCCUCCACUGUUUGAGCCUGUGCCUCCUCCUCCCUAAAGCUGCGUUUCUUUAGAUAUAAUUCUUUGGUUCGUCAGAAGAAACCAGAAUACAUAGUUCAUUGACACUUUUAUCUUCUGAUUUUUUUUCCGAAAAAUGUUGUGAUAACAAGAUUUUCUUUUGUGUUGAUUCAAGCUUCUUUUUUUCCGGGUGUUGUGUGGUUCUAUGUCUAUGUUUAGCUGCUGAAUUUUGAGUCGCAAGCCGGCCAGAAACGUAGCUUCUGGGAUUUGUAUUUGGUAUAAUUUGUGGGAAUUUGUAUUUGUGGAGUUAAUUAUGACUUAGUAUGUACUUGUAGUUC